CCGGAGGCUACUGCUAUCGAGGUUCGACUAAGCCAUGCGAGUCGAAUGUAGCAAUACAUGGCGAACUGCUCAGUAACACGUGGACAACCUGCCCUUAGGUUGGGUAUAAACCCGGGAAACUGGGUAUAAUACCCGAUAGGUCUCGAUUGCUGGAAUGCAUCGAGAUUUAAAGCUCCGGCGCCUAAGGAUGGGUCUGCGGCCUAUCAGGUAGUAGUGGGUGUAGCGUACCUACUAGCCUACGACGGGUACGGGUUGUGAGAGCAAGAGCCCGGAGAUGGAUUCUGAGACACGAAUCCAGGCCCUACGGGGUGCAGCAGGCGCGAAAACUUUACAAUGCUGGCAACAGCGAUAAGGGAACCUCGAGUGCCAGGUUACAAAUCUGGCUGUCGAGAUGCCUAAAAAGCAUUUCAUAGCAAGGGCCGGGCAAGACCGGUGCCAGCCGCCGCGGUAACACCGGCGGCUCGAGUGGUAACCGUUAUUAUUGGGUCUAAAGGGUCUGUAGCCGGCCGGAUAAGUCUCUUGAGAAAUCUGGCAGCUUAACUGUCAGGCUUUCAGGAGAUACUGUCUGGCUCGAGGCCGGGAGAGGUGAGAGGUACUUCAGGGGUAGGGGUGAAAUCUUGUAAUCCUUGAAGGACCACCAGUGGCGAAGGCGUCUCACCAGAACGGACCUGACGGCAAGGGACGAAAGCUAGGGGCACGAACCGGAUUAGAUACCCGGGUAGUCCUAGCCGUAAACGAUACUCGCUAGGUGUCGGCCACGGUGCGACCGUUGUCGGUGCCGUAGGGAAGCCGUGAAGCGAGCCACCUGGGAAGUACGGCCGCAAGGCUGAAACUUAAAGGAAUUGGC
rnacentral:rRNA from 1 species